CUCCACCCAAUACGGCGUCCCCGCGCUGGUGCUGGAUCUUGUAGCGGUGCGCGCGCCCAAAAACGACGGGGUAGGCUCCCAUUUCCGUUCGUGUCGUGCGGUCCACAUGCACAAGGAUGCUCAGCCUCGUCCACAGCCGACGGCUUCUGCCGCAGCGCGACCCGUUCAAAAUUCUGGGUCUCACCCGUAGUGCAACCAAAGCAGAGGUGAAGAUGAAGUACCGAGAGCUUGCUCGCAUCUACCACCCCGAUGCGGGGUCCGGUGACAGUGCCAAGAUGGAGGAGGUGAAUCACGCGUACAAGCUACUAUUAAAGGAGGGUGGAUACGAGCGUCUGCAUCUGCCGGGCUCAAGCAGGGCGCGACCGCAUGGCGCGAAGGGUCCUGUCGGGGUGACCUCGGAGAGUCGACGCGAGCUACCGCGCGAAAAGGCGACGGCGCCCUUUACUGUCGAUCAGCAGAGCAGCGGCACUGCGGGGGCAUCGUCCGGUGCGUCUGCCGGCACCGCGUCGUCACUGCUGACGGACGAGGAGGCCGAGAAGGUGAGUGCGCUGGAUCCGGCCACGGAGCGUCGCACGCCGGAAGGGAAGUACUUGUAUCAGAGCCGCGACGAUCAAAGCUGGGUCGAGCUCGAUCGCCCACUCCUGCGCGCGCAGCAGCCGCACUACGCGUCAUUCUCCGCGCAGGCGGACAUGAAAGCCGAGCUGCGACGCCGCGCCGUGCUGAAGGAAAAAGAGCAAAACGAAAAGAGCCGCUUUCAGAGGACUGCGGACCGCCUCGCGGACAGCGCUGAGUUGCCGACGCAAAAUCCGCACUUGCUGCGUAUCUACGCGUUAGUUGUCGUGUGCGUCUUCUACCUCAUGUACAAGCGCACGUUUGAGCGCACCCAUCACCAGAGGAAGCGCGCGAAGUUCUACCAGGCGCUGGAAGAGAAUCGAGAGGAGUUGAUGGCGACGUAUGAGAAGCAUAAGGAGGGCCUGCAGGUGACAGCGGUGGCUGCGGCGCUGGUCUUCCUUGCCGCCGCGGAACACAAGACGGCCGACGACCCCGUUGUGCCGAGUCCGCCAGAGGUCUUUUACCGCUCUGUGAAACCGCCGAGCGACCACUACACUGUCGUCGCUGGCGGUUAAACAUCACACACAAGGCUGACAAAUCGCUGAAGAGUAGCUGCUGAGGCUGCUGCGGUGUGGGCCUGAGACGAGGAAGGCAGGCGAUCGGCGUGUCUGGGCCGUGUUGCGUCGCUACCUGUUGGGCUGUGGGGGCUCGUUGUGCGCCUGACCUUUUUUUUUUCUUCUCGAUGCUGUCGGUGGUGCUUGCCGACGAUCUGCUCAAAGAGAGACACUCAUGCACACCACGACAGAGAAGCGGUGUUGCCGGUGGAGCGGUACAGUUUUUUUUUUUUUUUCGCUUUGCACGGAUGCGUAAGCGAAAAAAGCAUACUACCAGGCAAAACCACCCUCGAGCAUGAAGGCCGAGACCGUGGCUCCAUGCACCUCGGGGGUGACGUGGGGAGGGGGGGGGCUGCAUUUGGAAUGAAGCGCAGAUGCUCAUCGUAUUGGGUGUGGCACUGUCUACUCUGGGGAAGUGUACAACUCUCUCUAUCUGUGCGUCUCUGCAAGUGAAACGAACACCGGCUUCCGUGAAAAGCUUUUAGAGCGGGGUGGGGAGCGCAACUAGCUUCGUGUGGCAUACUCUUGAACACUAGAGGGAGGAUGGGGCAGAGGAAUCCACCUCUGCCACUCAGUUGGCGUUGCCCACCGCUGGCUCCUGCGCCGCCUACUUUGGCUAUACCCGCACACCCACCCUUCAAGCAGAGCGCAGAUUCCGGUAUUCAUUGUCGCGGGCUUUCUGCUUACAUCCAUCUUCCUCGCUCUUCUGCCUCUCCUCCCUUGCUGCCUCGUCGGCCACGCAUGUGCAUCGUGCGCGCAUGCCGAUCGCGUCUUUUUCAUGGUUUCUUCUUUGUUUGCUUCCUCCUGCCUCCGCUCUUCGAACGCGUCCGCUGGUAUGACACUGUGCGUGUGGCCUUUUGCAUCGAUCUCGCCAG
rnacentral:misc_RNA from 1 species